rnacentral:rRNA from 1 species
GAUGAACGCUAGCGGGAGGCCUAACACAUGCAAGCCGAGCGGUAUAGAUCUUUCGGGAUCUUGAGAGCGGCGUACGGGUGCGGAACACGUGUGCAACCUGCCUUUAUCUGGGGGAUAGCCUUUCGAAAGGAAGAUUAAUACCCCAUAAUAUUUAGAAUGGCAUCAUUUUAAAUUGAAAACUCCGGUGGAUAGAGAUGGGCACGCGCAAGAUUAGAUAGUUGGUGAGGUAACGGCUCACCAAGUCUGCGAUCUUUAGGGGGCCUGAGAGGGUGAUCCCCCACACUGGUACGUAGACACGAACCAGACUCCUACGUGAGGCAGCAGUGAAGAAUAUUGGACAAGGGGUGAGAGCCUGAUCCAGCCAUCCCGCGUGAAGGACGACUGCCCUAUGGGUUGUAAACUUCUUUUGUAUAGGGAUAAACCUACUCUCGUGAGAGUAGCUGAAGGUACUAUACGAAUAAGCACCGGCUAACUCCGUGCCAGCAGCCGCCGUAACAC